AGUGAACGCUGGCGGUAGGCCUAACACAUGCAAGUCGAACGGCAGCACAGUAAGAGCUUGCUCUUACGGGUGGCGAGUGGCGGACGGGUGAGGAAUACAUCGGAAUCUACUUUUUCGUGGGGGCUAACGUAGGGAAACUUACGCUAAUACCGCAUACGACCUACGGGUGAAAGCAGGGGAUCUUCGGACCUUGCGCGAUUGAAUGAGCCGAUGUCGGAUUAGCUAGUUGGCGGGGUAAAGGCCCACCAAGGCGGCGAUCCGUAGCUGGUCUGAGAGGAUGAUCAGCCACACUGGAACUGAGACACGGUCCAGCCUCCUACGGGAGGCAGCAGUGGGGAAUAUUGGACAAUGGGCGCAAGCCUGAUCCAGCCAUACCGCGUGGGUGAAGAAGGCCUUCGGGUUGUAAAGCCCUUUUGUUGGGAAAGAAAAGCAGCAGGUUAAUACCACGCUGUUCUGACGGUACCCAAAGAAUAAGCACCGGCUAACUUCGUG
rnacentral:rRNA from 1 species